GCGUUGUCCGGAAUUAUUGGGCGUAAAGAGCUCGUAGGCGGUCCGUCACGUCGGAUGUGAAAUUCCAGGGCUCAACCCUGGACCUGCAUUCGAUACGGGCGGACUAGAGUCCGGAAGAGGAGAGUGGAAUUCCUGGUGUAGCGGUGAAAUGCGCAGAUAUCAGGAAGAACACCUAUGGCGAAGGCAGCUCUCUGGGACGGUACUGACGCUGAGACGCGAAAGCGUGGGGAGCAAACAGG
rnacentral:rRNA from 1 species